ACCAAAAAAACAAUACUCUUUGUGAUGUGAUUGAUAUUGGGGGUUUGGAUGAUACAGUUAGUGUUGGGGGUACGUAUAGUAACACCUUAUUUACAUACAAGUAUAGCAUUACGACCACCAAGGUUGUUAUUGACUUGCAGUUCUAUCAAUGUUACAGCCACCAAGGCUACCAUCUUAAUUCGUUAACAACAUAUAAAGUAUAUCAUUACAGUCACCAAGGUUGUCAUUGAUUUGCCAUUCAUCUACGAUGAUAUUACGGCCACCAAGGCUACCACCAUACCCCAAAACAACAUACAAGUAUAGAAUUAGUUCAAUGAUGAUAUUAUGGCCACUAAGGCUAACAUCAUAAUCUGGUACAAACAUAUAAGUAUAACAUUAUGACCACUAAUGCUAACAUCAUAAUCGAUACUAACAUACAAGUAUAACAUUACGGCUACCAAGGCUGUCAUUGACUUUUAUUUCUCAAAGAUGGUAUUACGACCAACAAUGCUUCCACCAAUAUCAGGCAUGCAGACUCACAACACGAUAUCGUUCUUACCAACAUCCCAUCGGAGGCAUACAACCUCAUCAUACUGCCUUAUUGCUAACAAAACUAUAUCACUCUAGUCUAACACAUGUUUUCCACAAAACGGUACACCAACGUCCUACCUUACAACAGACAUACAAUUUCACAUAUAAUAGAAUAGGAAACCCCUUUCAUAUAGUUCAAUGAUCAUCAACUAAAUAAUCUGUAUAUAUAUUGCACAACAAUACUCCACUAUAUAACUUCUUUAUUUCGCAUAGCCAUUAACAACUUCGCCGACAUUCUACUACUCAUAACCACUACAACUAGAUUUAUCGUUUAAUCAAUAUAAUAUAACUUAUCUAUAAUUUAGUUGAACCAUCUCAUUGUUUCACAUAACAAUAACCCACUAUAAUAUUCAACCAUUUCGGUUCACCACAACUCUCAACCAUACAUAACCUUACAAGUUCCAAACCCAAACGUAAGAUUUCAUAAUAAUCAUAAUAUUGAAAUUAUCAUGCAAUACAAUAAUAAACACACAUAUGAAUAACAUAUAUCUAGAAGAAGGAUGCGAUUACUCACCUGGUCAAUCAGUGGGGCCUAAAUAUGAUUUUGGCAUCAAGCUUUGCUCUGAUUUCCAACUCAUCAUUUGUCCAGACCUAUUCAGACAAUAUAUCAAAUUCAUUAGAACUUACCUAAACUCACCAUUAUCAACCACAAUGAUCAGUUACCUGAUUCCCAACUAAACUCGAUCACCAUUCAUUAACAAACCAGUCAAGUUCCCAUAUAUAACCGCUAGAUGACUUAACCCCAUAAGCCGUUAGCCUAAUCGACAAUUAUGAUAAAUUAGGGUUUACAACCCUUAACCAAAUAGAUUAAGAUGUUCACUAUAAAUUCAUUAAUUAAAAAUUGGUCACUAAGUUGUAACAACACCAUACCACGACCUUUAUAACAUACUUGGGGUCUAACAACCCUUUAUAAUAUGCUACGUAAGUAUAAUUACGUAUCAACGAAUCAAGAGGAUAUUUUAGCUCGUAUGACAGUCGUACCCUCAUUAAUCGGUCUCACGGCCUCUGUCUCAACGCUAUAAUUGUUGUUCAACAAUUCUAAAUUUGUUCAGCCAAAGCACUGUUUCAACUAUUUAUACAAGACUGAUUACGUAAUCCGAGUUGCGACAUUAACAUAAUCAGGCCCCGACCAUGUGUAGCACCUCAAAAUCAGCCAUGUAGCUCAUUUCCUCACCACGUGUCUAUUCUCACACCGCAUGUCCCCUACUGUCACGACUCUUCAUCGCGUCGCGAUAUUAACAUACUCACGUCGUGACAUAGCAAUGUACUUUAAGUUAUAACAGUGUUGUGACACUCGUUUUGUUUUUAGUAAAUUAUAAUCUAAGAUAUAUUAAUAGUAUAAAAUAUAUAGGUGAAUGUGUUAGAAAUUAAGUAAUGUCGUAAUAAAAGAGUUUAAAUCAAAAGAGUAUUUUGGCCAUUUUGUGUAAUUCUUGAAUUUCUGGUAAAUUUUAUGAUUUUAUAAAAAAGAAAUGUUGUAGCAUAAACAUGUGCUAUAAGAUGAAUAAUUUAUGAGUGCAAAGGACUUAAUGCUACAUAAUGUUCAUCUUCACGGGGUGUAUCAUUGUGGUUAUCACUCAGAUAAAACAUAUACAAUAUUUCAUUGUUCACUUUGAAGGGAACAUUCUUAUGACAAGUAUUCUAUUGCUAACUAUUAACUUCUUACAAUUCAUAGGAUACAAAAGAUGUUUUAUCCUUUAGGAGAAAAGACGUGAAUGCCCUCGUCCUUUUGAGAGUAGCCUUUAAAAACUUAUACAGUCCUGGCCCAUGUAGCACACACAACAUUAUAAAACAAGUUCAUAGAGAUUAUGGAAAUAAAGAAUAUUUAUUUCCAUGCAAUAUUUGCUCAAGGAAAUUAUUAUUAUUAUUAUUUUAAUAUUUUCUAGUCCUAGGUGCACAGAAAGGAUGGCUGGCAACAUUGAGAAAUUGGGUGGAGCUCAAUACAUGUUUCUCGCUCACAAGUAUAAUGAUGAUGAGUUCAAGCAACAUUCGAUAAUUGUAAUAUUAUAUAAGCUAUUUAUUGACUUUUCUUCUUAAAAUUAGGGAUGCCACAUGAUUUGAGAUCACAAGAAGUGAUCUAAGCGAUUAGGUUGUAAAAGAAUUCUCCACUCCAAAGAAGUAUGAUAUUUCUGCUAUUUUGUCUUGUCAUUUGUUAGCUACCUAGUGGGCUUAUGUACCUGAUUUAUAUCAUCAUUAUAGUGUGAGCUAUAUAUUUCAGGGUGUUAACUUUUUAGUAGAUAAUUCUUGAUAUGUUUGUUUUCAUUAAAAAAAAGUGGUAAAUUUAUAAUUUUUGAUGCAUUUAAGGUAAAUGUAUCGACAAAAGAGGUGGACUAAAUAUCUACAGUCUGAAAAAAGAAAACUGUUAGAAAACUGUUUGUUUUUUUAACAUCUGCAAACUACUAAAAUAAACUAAAAUUUAAAUAAACUGAUUUUUUUAAACUACAAAGUGAUCUUUUAAUAUAUUUAUGACUUUGUUAUAAAUAAUUAACAAAUCUAAAUCAACGUUUAGUAUUAUUAUAUAAAAAGUGAAAAUAAAAAUGGUACAAAUCAACGUAUAUAUUUAAAAAAAAAACCAACAAUUUUGGUCGUAAAGUUAUGCCUAAACAUUGUAAUUAGGAAUCAAAGAAUUUGAUAUAUAAAUGAAUGAAAAUGAACUUCGAUUUUGUCAAUUAAAUCAAUUAAAAACAUGCACAAAUAUUUUUUCUAAAAAAUUGAUGAUGUUUUAUUAAAUAAUGUUUUAUAAAAUUUGGCACAAAAAAUAUAAAAAUAUAUUAUUAUUUUUUUCAUAUAUAUAUAUAUAUAUAUAUAUAUAUAUAUAUAUAUAACUGUAAAAAAAAAAAAUANUGACGACUAUUAUUGUAAUAAAUUUUUAUUUAUAAAUUUGUCAAAAAUAUCAUGUUUGUGUCGUCGAACUUUUUUUUUUAAGUAUUGUAACUUUUUUUUUUCAAAUUGUUUAUCACUAAUAAAGUUGGAAUAAAUAUAAAUUCAAAAAAGAUAAAAAUAAAGUAUAUGUGUUUUUUUAGGCUAGAAGAUGUCUGAAGAUGUUAAAAGACUUUGGUUCACAUCUGCGCCAAGAAAAGGGCGCACAAACAUUUUUAGGUCUGCAGUUUUCAAAUAAACAAACAGUCUACGAAAGAUAAUGUAUGUGCGUGGUCUGCGCCGCGCAGACUGAAAAGGCCAAAAAGAUCUGCGGACAAAAAACAAACACUACCUUAAUGAUACCACCUUAAUGAUGACAUUCAAUUUAUACACACACCAGGACACACAAAAGUAGGGGUGAGCAAAAACCGCACCGCAACUAAAAUUAACCGCAAAAACCGCAACCGCAAUANCCGCAAUAAAAACCGAUAGUGAGGUUUUCUGUUUUUCAAAAACCGCAAAUUUGCGGUGCGGUGCGGUUAUUAGUUUCCAAAAACCGCAAAAAAACCGCACCGCACCGCAUAUAUUAUAUACAAUUUUUUUUUAUCAAUUAUUAGUUUAUUAAAUAUUAAAAAUAAGACAAGUUUCAUGAAUGAGAGACAAAUAAAAUAGUAGAAAACAAAAAUGUUGGUUUUUUUUAUGUUUAACUUUGAAAAUAAUGAAAUUAGAUAAUUUUAAGAUACUUAUUGUUAAUUACUAAUGAUUUGACGUUUUUAAGAUAUUAGUUGUUUGUGGUUUAAGUUAAAUAGUUAAUUGUCUUAUACCUUAUGUUUUUUUUUAUUAUUACAAGUAAUAUGUUUGAACUUUUAAAACUAUUUGAGCUCUAAACUAGGAUUAAAAACCACACAAAUUAAUCGCAACAAAUCCAUGCGGUUAAUAACCGCAACACAGAAAAAACAAAACCGCACCGCAAAAAUAACCGCCUAACCGCACCGCAAAAAUAACCGCACUAUACGGUUUUGAAAAUGGAUUAACCGCAUUUGCGGUUAGUGGUGAGGUUUUGGCUAAUAACCGCACCGAACUGCACCGCGCUCAACCCUACACAAAAGUGAGUAGACAACCGAUUAUUUGAUUAUUACAACUUUGAUUAUUACAACCGAUUAUAAUUAUUUUGUAUUAAAUAGUCACUUUCAGAACGCACAUCCAAAUAAUAUGUUUUAUAAACAAUUGAUAAUUUAUAUGGACAAGAUCAGUCUGCUUGUUUUACAAGCCCUUAAAGGUUUGGCAAUGGAGGAAUCUAAGCUGACAGUUUAUGAGAUAUUUAACUUUUAUUCAGUUAUAACGCAUUUGAUCUCUAUAAUUUUGACAAAAUAAAAUUUAUCUAGUUAUAUUAAAAAAGUUAAUUAUUGAUUUUAUACACUAAGUUAUCAACAUUCUAUAAGGGAAUCUCAAACCCAACACUAAACUAAUAGCAUUUUUUGCACCACUUUGCUUGAACCAACACCAUUUUUUGCAUCAUUUUGGGGUACAUGAUUAUUAAUAUACUAUUAAAUUUGAUGUUAUACCAUUUUUUGCAUCAUUUUUGUGUACAAGAUUAUUAAUAUAAAAUUAAAUUUGGUGUUACAUCAACUUUCAUAUGUCAAUAUUGGUGUAGUACAAAUUAUUGGUGUUAUGUGUUGCAAAUGUCUAAAGAAAGAAAGCUUAUAACCUAAAAUAAAAAGGUUAAUUACAUAAAGACCCUAUAUAUUUAUUGGGUUUUUUUUUACAGAUUAAACUUUAUUUUUUCCUGAAAAAUCCUUUACAUUGUUUCAUUUUUUCGGUAUGAUCUUUUACUUUUUAGUAUGUUUAUUGGUAAUCUUCUGGUUUUAUACAAAGAUGUAAAGGUUAUUUUUUAGAAAAAAAAAAUAAGUUAAUGUUUAAUCCAAAAAACAUUGGUAAUCUUCUGGUUUUAUACAAAGAUGUAAAGGUUAUUUUUUAGAAAAAAAAAAAAUAAAGUUAAUGUUUAAUCCAAAAAAAUGAAAAGAUGUAAGGGCUAAAUCAAAAAAAUGGAAAAACAUAAGGACCAAGUUAGAAGGCUUUUUCGAAAAAAAAAAAAAAAAAAAAAAAAAAACGAAGUUGAAUUUUUAGAAGGCUUUUUAUUGAAAGUCCUGGAUUUUGUUCCUUCUUUCAAAUUUAAAGUUUUUCGUCCCUUAAAAAAUAUUUUCCUUUUCGUCCCUUGAAUUAAAACUGUCAGUUUUUUUCCUACCUAAUAUAAAAAUGAACAUUAAUAACUAAUUUCAUACUUCAUAAAGAUACAACAUUGUUUGGAGAAGUAAUCAUUAAAAUAUAAAACUUGUAUGCCAUAUUUUAUUUCCAAUUUUCAGUGGUUAUAGUGUUAUACAGUUUGGAUAGUGUUGCUAUGUUGCUUGAGGUAGAAUUCGAGUGGAUAUUACCAAGUACAUACUUUUGUCCCACCCAAAAAGAUGGGAUAAAGACUUGUUUUUGUCAAAAGGUGUUAAUGCCCUCAUCUUCACUUUCAAAAAUAAACUUAGAAUCAUGUAUCGUGUAAGUUGUAACAAACAUCAAAAAUAACAACAAAAAGUUAUGUUUGUUACAUAGGACAUGAUUAAAUAAAUGAGUGUAUCAGUAAAAGAUUGCUUUAAUGUUGUGGAUAGGGCAUGGAAGGAGAAAAUAUCAAAGGGAACUUGAAUACAACAUGUUGUAGUGUGUUGAACACCCCAACUUUAUUAUAAUUAACUUUUUUUUAAGUAGUAGUUACAAAAAGGAUUAAAAAGUCAAUGUCCGUAUGUACAUAAAUGUUAAACAAAAAAUUAACACAAACUAUUUUUUAGUAUAUGAUUAUUGAAAUUCAAAUUGCAAACCCCAUCGACAAAAUUACAUACCAAACCAACGGAGACACGAAAUUGAAUUAUUCGAGUUCAAAUGCCAAUUUCUUUGAUUGAAUUUCUUCGAUUUAAAAUUGUUUGACAAAAUUCCGGCGUAAUAGAAGCAAAUAAAAUCAUCAGUGAUUUAGUGAUCAGAAAUAAUACAAUAAAAUCAAAUAAGAUAAUUAAAAAAAGAUCAAAAAACAGUCUUGACAUAAAACAGUUAAAGUCGAGGAAAAAAGCGAUAAAAAAAAAAAAAAAAAAAAAANGGGAAAAAAAAAGAAAAAAAAAAAAAAAAAAAAAAAAAACGAAUUAAAAAAUGCAACAAAAAAAACGAAUUAAUAAAAUUAUACGCAGUGAAUCAACGACCUUUUUCACAAAGUUUGAAGUGUGUGUAUGUCUAAGAAGAAUAUACGAGGCUCAGAUCUGUUUUACCUUCGGAACAAGAAGAUUAAACCGCCAUGGCUGCAAAUACAGAGGUUGCAUUCUCACAAUCGCCGUCCUCCGAUUAUAUGCCCUGCCAAGCUGCGGAUAAUCUCAAAUCAUGUCCCGAUUUUGAAUCAGAUCACGUUUAAUCAUCAUAGCCUCAUAUUUGUGGACAAUAAUUUUGGACGGAAGGAGUAUAAUAUGAAGAAAAGAUAGGAGGAUAUUUAAUUUCUCUAUAUCUAUAUAUAUAUAUAUCAGCAAAAGCUGUACCAGAGGGUUGUUGGAGCUUUAAAGAAUGACAAUGGAAAUCAUCGGCGUCGAGAGGCGGCAACCGCCCUUGGAAACCCUUCUUCCUCUCACAGCCUCAUUCUUUGAGCCGUAAAACAGAAAUCCCUAGCUUUCAUCCGGUUACUAUAUAGUCUAUAAAGUUAUAUUAAGGCCAUCGAUUUGGGUUACCAAUUGGAUCUUUGGAUCUACUUUAAUUUGUCAUUUAU
rnacentral:lncRNA from 1 species